rnacentral:lncRNA from 1 species
CAUAUUUUUACUGGUUAAACCGAAAACCGAACCGUUAAGAAACAAAACUGAUAAACCGAAAACCGAUAAAAAAUUAUCUUAUUGGUUCGUUAUUGGUUUAGCGUACUUAAAAACCAAUAAAUCGAACCGAUAAUACAUAAAACUAAACCGAUCCGAUCGAUGCACACCCCUAACAACAAACCAAACACUCAAUAAGAAAUAAUCUCAGCACAACUUAUCCCAUCAUAAAAUCUCAACACAACUUAUCCCAUCAUAAAUCUCAACAUAACUUAUCCCAUCAUAACGCAUAUCCAAACCAAACGAC